rnacentral:rRNA from 1 species
AUUGAACGCUGGCGGCAGGCCUAACACAUGCAAGUCGAACGCGUGGCGGACGGGUGAGUAAUGUCUGGAAAACUGCCUGAUGGGGGGGGAUCACUAGUGGAAACGGUCGAUUAUCCCGCAUACCCUGAGAUGAGCCUAGAUGGGAUUAGCUAGUUGGUGGGGUAACGGCUCACCAAGGCGACGAUCCCUAGCUGGUCUGAGAGGAUGACCAGCCACACUGGAACUGAGACACGGCCCAGACUCCUACGGGAGGCAGCAGUGGGGAAUAUUGCACAAUGGGCGCAAGCCUGAUGCAGCCAUGCCGCGUGUAUGAAGAAGGCCUUCGGGUUGUAAAGUACUUUCAGCGGGGAGGCGUUACCGGCAGAAGAAGCACCGGCUAACUCCGUGCCAGCAGCCGCGGUAAUUC